UGGGGGAUAUUGCACAAUGGGGGAAACCCUGAUGCAGCGACGCCGCGUGAGGGAUGACGGCCUUCGGGUUGUAAACCUCUUUCAGUUGGGAAGAAGCCCUUUGGGGUGACGGUACCUUCAGAAGAAGCACCGGCUAACUACGUGCCAGCAGCCGCGGUAAUACGUAGGGUGCGAGCGUUAUCCGGAAUUAUUGGGCGUAAAGAGCUCGUAGGCGGUUUGUCGCGUCUGCUGUGAAAGCCCAGGGCUUAACCCUGGGUUUGCAGUGGGUACGGGCAGGCUGGAGUGCAGUAGGGGAGACUGGAAUUCCUGGUGUAGCGGUGAAAUGCGCAGAUAUCAGGAGGAACACCGAUGGCGAAGGCAGGUCUCUGGGCUGUUACUGACGCUGAGGAGCGAAAGCAUGGGGAGCGAACAGGAUUAGAUACCCUGGUAGUCCAUGCCGUAAACGUUGGGCACUAGGUGUGGGGCUCUUUCCACGAGUUCCGCGCCGUAGCUAACGCAUUAAGUGCCCCGCCUGGGGAGUACGGCCGCAAGGCUAA
rnacentral:rRNA from 1 species